AUUGAACGCUGGCGGCGUGCUUAACACAUGCAAGUCGAUCGGUAACAGGUGUAGCAAUACAUGCUGACGAGAGGCGGACGGGUGAGUAAUGCUUGGGAAUCUGCCUAUUAGUGGGGGACGAACCCGGGGAAACGUCGGGCUAAUACCGCAUACGCUCUACGGAGGAAAGCCGGGGACCGCAAGGCCUGGCGCUAAUAGAUGAGCCCAAGUCGGAUUAGCUAGUUGGUAGGGUAAAGGCCCACCAAGGCGACGAUCGGUAG
rnacentral:rRNA from 1 species